CCGUUGCCGGCGACCGGCGCACGGGUGAGUAACACGUAUGCAACCUGCCCGUGGCAGGGGGAUAAGCCGGGGGAAACCCCGUCUAAUACCGCGUAACGCGGCCUUGGGGCAUCCCAAGGCCGCCAAAGGGAGCAAUCCCGGCCACGGAUGGGCAUGCGGCGCAUUAGCUAGUCGGCGGGGUAACGGCCCACCGAGGCGACGAUGCGUAGGGGUUCUGAGAGGAAGGCCCCCCACACUGGUACUGAGACACGGACCAGACUCCUACGGAAGGCAGCAG
rnacentral:rRNA from 1 species